GGGGAGGGGGAAGGGGGGAUAUGUAUGUGUGUGAAGGAAGGCACCGAUGCUGUGAAGAGAGUAUGGCAUAUUAAAAAUACAAGGGCCGCAUGAUCAGGUGCCCACUUCUGGUAUUUGCACUCAGGUUCACAGCAGUGUUACUCACAACAGCUAAGAGAUGGGUACCGGAUCAACACAGGUGAGCCAGCUGGAGUCACCUGCUGAUCUUACAAUUCAAUAGUCACUGAAGAAUAUGGGCUCCAUUGUUUCCUGAGUACUCUUGGGCGCAGCUACACAGUGAGCACAGGAGAUGGCUAAGAAGCUGAGAACAACUUUCUGGAAAUGAGUGAGACAGGAAGAGGCUCAGGGAAGACAAACUGCUUGGUCUCAGCCACACAGAGAAUGAAGAUAAUCAUCAUUAUUUUUGAAAAUCUUGAAAACUCUCAGUUGAGCAGUAUUCUUAUUUGGAUGUGGCUAGGCUAUAAGGAACAGGAUCUACUGGAGAACCCAGGGGCACCAUGCUCUAGGCCCUGGUGACUAUGGCGGUGAUCAGCAGACGGAGGACUCCAGCCUCAUGGACACUGAAAUUGUGGGGAUCACAUGGAACACAAAGUUCUUUACUUGUUUACUUGUAAUUAAGCUUAGAGCCAGGGCUGUGAGACUGCUAUUGGUCUCUUUGAUGAGAUUGCUUCCCAUGUCGCAUCUGUACCUCAGGAGAGACAGGAAGGAAGGAAGCAAAGCCAGGACAACUGAGGGGCUGCCAGGCAGAGCAGUCUUCAGGACUCUGCAGUGCGGCUCCUUUCCCACCCUUCUCACAUCUCACUCAAUGCUCUCUGAACCCUGCCUAUCAGCCACACAGGAACCUCUGCUUGGGAAGAAUCACAUCCUCAAAGAUGCCUCUCCUGAUCCCCCAGGCAUUUCCACAGCAUCCACUCCUUCUCUAUAGUGUCAACUUAAUCGUAACUAUGUAAUUACAAGUGUGU